CUACGGGGGGCUGCAGUGAGGAAUCUUCCGCAAUGGGCGAAAGCCUGACGGAGCGACACCGCGUGAAGGAUGAAGUCCUUAACUGGAUGUAAACUUCUGUUCUGAGGGACGAAAUUUUUGACGGUACCUCAGGAGAAAGCAUCGGCUAACCCUGUGCCAGCAGCCGCGGUAAGACAGGGGAUGCAAGCGUUACUCGGAAUUACUGGGCGUAAAGCGUCUGCAGGUUUCUCUCCACGUCUGGUGUAAAAGCACUGGAGCUCAACUCCGUGUACGUGCCGGAAACGAGAGAGAUUGAGUCACUCAGAGGCAUCUGGAAUGCCGUGUGUAGGGGUAAAAUCCGUAGAUCCACGGUGGAACGCCAAAAGCGAAAGCAGGAUGCUGGGGGUGUACUGACACUCAGAGACGAAAGCGUGGGGAGCAAAGGGGAUUAGAUACCCCUGUAGUC
rnacentral:rRNA from 1 species